GAAGAGAAAAGUGAUGGAGGAGAUGAAGAAGUCGAAGAUGGGGAUGAAGAGCAUGAGUCCACCCUCGUCUACAAAAUCGAGAUGAUACUAAGCAAGUUCCUGCGAGUGUCCAAAUAAUAUUCCAAACAGAAACGAUUCAGAAUAAUAUAUAAGCUCCUGACCAGUGAAAAUAGUGGAUAGUAUCUAGAAGAUUCUGCAGAACACACUAUCGAUAGUUGUAAAAGUUUUGAUUAUCAAUGGAAGCACAAUUAUAUUCCC